UACGGGGGGGGCAAGCGUUGUUCGGAAUUACUGGGCGUAAAGGGCUCGGAGGUGGCCAACUAAGUCAGACGUGAAAUCCCUCAGCUUAACUGGGGAACUGCGUCUGAUACUGGAUGGCUUGAGUUUGGGAGAGGGAUGCGGAAUUCCAGGUGUAGCGGUGAAAUGCGUAGAUAUCUGGAGGAAUACCGGUGGCGAAGGCGGCAUCCUGGACCAUAACUGACGCUGAGGCGCGAAAGCUAGGGGAGCAAACGGG
rnacentral:rRNA from 1 species